GCCAUCCACCUUCUCCACAGAAUGUUUUCAAGCAGGGAGUUUAUUUAUAUGUUGAACUUAAAACCAAAAAAGGGAACUUCUGUUUGCAAAUGCAACUACUCAGGAUGUGACUGUAGUUCCCCAGUACAGUCACGUGACCCACUUUAUUUUUUUUUUUAAAAAGGCGCUGCAGAAGAGCUAAAUUCAGAAAAUUUGGCUGAAACCACGCUGUUGUCAAAACUUCACGAUGAACUUAUUAACAAGCUGGAUGUCAGUCCUAAUGGCAUUUCUUCUUCUCUUACAUUUUUGGAGAGCAAAGGUCUAUGCUUCUGGAAACUCAGAGGAGGAAAUAGAUUUGACGUAUGUUAUUAUAGGAGUUACUCUGGGAGUGAUUCUAACAAUCGGUUUUAUAGCAGUAAUAAUCUGCUUGAUCAAAAAACAAGUGAUUGACAUUGGAGGUCAAACAUGGGAUCAAGCCAAAACAGGUACGUUCCAGGGGAAGGGGGGUCUGGUGGAGCAGGGAGAGGGAGUGAUGGGACGAGGCAGACGCAUGGAAUUUCACAAAUGUUAUUCCAGCAGCUCCAUUAAUAAUUUUCUAGAAUUCCUCUGUUUUUUUUUAAUCUGGGAAUCUCCCAGCUCAGCUUUUAUGACAAUGCUCUGGAUCAUGCCAGGUAAAACCAAAGCCUGCUGGUUAGUUCUUGCUAACCCGUGAUGUUUCUUUUUCAGAGAUGAUGUCAACGUACUUGGAAAGCAAAGUACAAAUGAUCAAUAACCCUUUUGCGAUCAACAGUUACCUGCUCUGAGGAUCAAUAGAAGUCUCUUGUGCACAGGCAGGAGUCUCACCAACACCGAUCCCUUUCUUUGUUCUUUAAUUGAAAGACUGAUUGAUUGAUUACAGGAGGAGCUCAUAGCGCAUGCUAACUUCAAUCACCUGCACACAAAAAUCCUCAACAGCACAUACCUGAAGGAAAUGUAUGAGGAAAACAAAAGAGAUGAGCUCUCCUCAUGAAUAGAUCCUGUUUAGCCCCUGACAAGUAUAUGUGUGAUUUCUAAAAUCAGUUAAAUACAGGGUAAUCAAAAAGUCAGUAAUACAUUUCAUCAGAGAAUUCAUGUCAUGCCCGUAUUUUGAGAUAGGUAAAUAGUGACUGAAGUAACUUGAAAAAAAUCAUUCAUUUGAGGUUGAAGCAAAAUAAGGCUUCCCCCCCUUUUUUUUUUUUUUCAGGAAAUGUAUGUCAUGUGUUAGUAGGAAAACAUUUCAUUCACACUAAAGUUAUAUCUCUUUUAGCUUUAGGACUGAUGUCUUUUGUUUAACUGUAGGUGGUAGUGCUAAUUUCAGCCAUUUAAAAUGAAUUGUGGUCAUUUAAAAAUGUAAAAGUCCUUUUUGAAAUAAUGUUUUCCAUGUUUUGCUUUUAGAACAUGGAAAUGAAACCAGUUUUGCAUACUCAAAAAGUUUCUGGAGAUCUGAAACAAAACAUUUCAUGUCAACAUUCCACAACCAAACUAACCUAUUUCCAAAAUUCACCCAGCUCUGUUUUACCUUAGUAUAAAACAGUGCACUGAGUUCAAUCAGAAUUUAUGAAUAAUUUCAGUCUCCCAACCCCUUCAUUCUUGUUCUAGCCUUAUACAUUCUGUUGAAUUUGAUGUCAUCAGAACUGCUUUGCCUGGCUCCAAUUACAAGCUUCUUACAGCAGGAGUGACAAGAAAAAUUAGAGCUUUGUCUCAAAAUAUUUAGAAUAAUUUAAAUAAUUUUAAAUGGUUUAAACCCAAGUUAUUUUGUAAACACAUCCCAGCUUUUACCAAACCUGUGAGCCUGUGGCUUCUGUCCCAGUUCAGAAAAUAAUGCUGUAGAUUUAAUCCCCUUCUUUUGAGAAUGCCAUGUUAUACAGAUGUUGUCAUCACAAGGUGCAUGAAAACCAGGAAGAUUUUGGUGUUUCAAGCCAGGCUUUCCUUUCAGCUUGGGGAAACAGGGCAGCAAAUGGCAUGCACGAUGAUAAUUAAUGACAGAAUUAACAGGCAUAGCUGUUAUGCUACACUAUUCCAUUGCAACUUACAAAGAACCACUAUCCAGAUGCAAAGACCACAGGCUGGAAAUAGAUUGGAUCUUCCUAAACGUUUAGCUCAGGCCGAUGUCUAUAGACAUAUGGAUGUUUUUAAUUUCUCAUCUGACUUGCAUUCCUAAAGUUAACUUUCAAACCAGUGUCUGCUCUCAGUUAUGCCAUGGGACAGAUCAUAAUAAAGUUCUUUCCAGUUCUUCA
rnacentral:lncRNA from 1 species